CCGAAUCACAUUUAAAUACAACACGAUGUUGGAGCAAGAUAACUGAAGUUAUUUAAAAAAGUAGAGCUUACAGGUGGCUAAGGUUCUAACAGGCAGAAGGUUAGACGGGGGACAGGAAAAACCGGCUGUCGAAGGCUAAAGAAAACAGAUUUAAAUGGAUCUGCAAAAACAACUGGGAUCCAGUCAGCGAAAUGUGGAUUUGCAAUUGCCAUUUUGCAUCAGGACAUUCAACAACAUGGGUCAAUCUGCAGGUUCAGUCAGGCCAAUGCGAAGGAUCAUUAAGAUGGAAGUGACAAACCUCGAGUCGUCGGCCCUGACUCAAGGCCAGAUAACAGCGUUGGCGCUUUUCUUACCUUCCUUCCAGUGUGGGUCGAAAACUGAUGAAUUGAGUUUUGACCAAAUGUGGUGCAAGGAAAGUUUAGUGGUGGGCCAGUUAAGGUCAACUUCAAUAAUCCCACUCUCAGCAGCACAAGCUGAAGAAGAAAGUGAACGGAUGACGCUGCUGUUGACCCAAAUCCACCCUGAUCAGAUCGACAUACCGACACUGGCUAACACCAAGAAUCACUUUAAAAUGAUACAGUUUGAGGGGAGAGAGUUUGUGAGAGUCACCUGUUUGGUUCAAUUACCUGAGGCAGCACAGAGUAAGAACAAAUGGAAAGUUUCUGACUAUAAUUUUGAGGGCCAGUUGAUCAUGUCUGUGAUCUGCACCUUGAAAAUGGACCUUGAACUAUCGAAAUGUGAAGAGAGCUGGCAGUCAGAGUCGACGACCCCUGCACAAAGACUCAGAGAACAUGACUAUUUUACUUAUUAUUAAACCUGCUUUGUGUGUUUAUUUUUGGCCACUUGUGGGCAACAAGACCAAACUGUAAGCACAACUUUGACAUGUGUAAAGGAAACUUUUUUGCAAACUGUCGCCUAAUUACACAUCAAAAAGCCACAAGGAACAUAAGCAUUUUUUGGAGUUGUGUUUUCAUCCAUGACUACAGGAUUUUCUAAAUUAAAUAUCCUUGUAGUUUUAUUUGGUUCUUCACAAAUUCCCAAAGGAAAUAUAUUAUUAUCCCAGAGAAGAGCAAGAAUAGUAAGUAAGACAAAAGGGCUACAGCAUAGAAGCUAGGCAAGGCUGCACUUACGCUAAAGGCUAAU